UACGUAGGGUGCAAGCGUUGUCCGGAAUUAUUGGGCGUAAAGAGCUCGUAGGCGGUCUGUCGCGUCGGAUGUGAAAACCCAGGGCUCAACCCUGGGCCUGCAUUCGAUACGGGCAGACUAGAGUUCGGUAGGGGAGACUGGAAUUCCUGGUGUAGCGGUGAAAUGCGCAGAUAUCAGGAAGAACAUCGGUGGCGAAGGCGGGUCUCUGGGCCGAAACUGACGCUGAGGAGCGAAAGCGUGGGGAGCAAACAGG
rnacentral:rRNA from 1 species